rnacentral:rRNA from 1 species
CCUACGGGUGGCAGCAGUGGGGAAUAUUGCACAAUGGGCGCAAGCCUGAUGCAGCCAUGCCGCGUGUAUGAAGAAGGCCUUCGGGUUGUAAAGUACUUUCAGCAGUGAGGAAGGCGGAGUCGUUAAUAGCGGCCUCGUUUGACGUUAGCUGCAGAAGAAGCACCGGCUAACUCCGUGCCAGCAGCCGCGGUAAUACGGAGGGUGCGAGCGUUAAUCGGAAUUACUGGGCGUAAAGCGCAUGCAGGUGGUUUGUUAAGUCAGAUGUGAAAGCCCGGGGCUCAACCUCGGAAUUGCAUUUGAAACUGGCAGACUAGAGUACUGUAGAGGGGGGUAGAAUUUCAGGUGUAGCGGUGAAAUGCGUAGAGAUCUGAAGGAAUACCGGUGGCGAAGGCGGCCCCCUGGACAGAUACUGACACUCAGAUGCGAAAGCGUGGGGAGCAAACAGGAUUAGAUACCCCAGUAGUC